rnacentral:rRNA from 1 species
UACGUAGGGUGCAAGCGUUAAUCGGAAUUACUGGGCGUAAAGGGUUCGUAGGUGGUGCGGCAAGUUGGGAGUGAAAUCUCUGGGCUUAACUCAGAGGCUGCUUUCAAAACUGCCGCGCUCGAGUGCGAGAGAGGUCAGUGGAAUUGCAGGUGUAGCGGUGAAAUGCGUAGAUAUCUGCAGGAACACCCGUGGCGAAGGCGGCUGACUGGAUCGCAACUGACACUGAGGAACGAAAGCUAGGGGAGCAAACAGG